rnacentral:lncRNA from 1 species
GUUAUGCUGUACAAUUGGAAGCAUUGUACUGAUCUCUUCCUACCACACUGAAUAUCGCAUGAUAUCCUGAAAGUGAUCUAGAUGAAGUUGUGCCAACAACCUGACCUGCCGUACCCCACGCUUCCCAGUGCAGCAGAGCCCUGACCUCACUCUCACAUGCCUUAUGUCCCUGGAAUCAGGUAACAGCCACUGCCAGGCAGUCAUCGCAGAGAAAACAAGGAAAACACCACGUGGAUUCCCUCGGGAUGAGAUCAGGUGCACACUGCCUGCUCAAUGGGUCCACCACCCACCACAGACUCCAGCCCAGUGUCGCAGCCGGCGGGGCGGCACCCACCGUUCUCCCACUCCAGACCCGAUUUCACAUCCACAUGGAGCCUCGGUCAGGCGGUCUUCGGUCCCAUAAAGCCUAUGCAUGUAUUUUCCUCAGAGAGCCCACGGAGGAGAGAGAGGUGGCUAAAACAAGAAAAGAUCUGUGGAUGACUGCGUCUCCCGGGCAAAAGACCACUCUGAUAGCUUCCAUGAGAGCUCCCUGGGGCAUCCAUGGAGAAGAUAUUUUUGAGGGAGAAAUCCCCAAUGCUUCUUGAAUCUUGCAGCCCACACAGGGAUUUCCUACAAGCAAACCCAGCCUUGAGCUAUAAAGAUCUGAUCACUUUCCUGGGUGAAGACAGCAGACUGACUCAGUUAUUCUGUGGAUAGGUGACUUGAUCAAUGAGUUGGUGAGAGUUCUAAGAUGUGUCUUUCAGGCACAUCUCAGAUUUGUAAAAUUAUUAUUUAUUUAUUUAAUUAAUUUAUUUUUUUUGAGAUGGAGACUCACUCUGUCACCCAGGCUGGAGUGCAGUGGCACAAUCUUGGCUCACUGCAACCUCCACCUCCCAGGUUCAAAUGAUUCUCCUGUCUCAGCCUCCUGAGUAGCUGGGAUUACAGGCACCUGCCACCAUGCCCGGCUAAUCUUUGUAUUUUUACUAGAGACAGGGUUUCACCAUAUUGGCUGGGCUGGUCUCCAACUCCUGACCUCAGGUGAUCCACCUGCCUCAGCCUCCCAAAUUGCUGGGAUUACAGGCAUGAACCACUGUGCCUGGCCUCAGAUUUGUAAGAUAAUUUAAACAAGACUCAGUGUCUCUGCAUCUCACAUUGGUUGUAUAUUGCAUUAAAAUGGUGAUAAUUCUCCCCUAAUCAAACUGUGCCCAUAUACUGGCAAGGACAUUAAUGUUAUGAAGACAAGAAGUAGCUGAAAAAUAAAGAGACAAUAGCCACGAGACAGACCCAGAGGUCAGGUAGGGCAGGGUUGCCGUGAGGACACGGCUCAUCCCACAGGGCCUGGGAACUUGUGGUCACAGCAGUGCAAGGUCCUGUUCUCUCCUCCACAGGGACAGACAGGCCACCAGCCUGACAGAGACGGCAUUAGGGGGCAGCUGCCAGGAACAAGCAGGGAUUGCACUAGACUUUAUAGCGCCACAGUUCGGAUUUGCUGGAUUUGGAGACAAAAUCCAGGUUUGAAUUGUGAUUCUAUUUCUUACCGCCCCGCGGCCUGGGGCAGCCAGGUCAGCUCUCUGAGCCCCGUGGUCUCCAUUGCUGAAUGAGAAUGCCCACCUCCACUCAGAACCAGCCAGUGUGGUGCCAGCAACCCACCUAACACAGGCAAAGAGGAUUUCUUAAUGAAAACAUUUUGUCUUGCACAAAACAAUACUCAAUUU